UUGGUGAGUUGUAUACUGUAUGCCAAAAGCAUAUGGAGCAACUGAGGCAGCUCAUCAAGGUAGGUUGCAACGUAGAUCAAUGGUAGAUCGUCUGUCUCUUAAACAGGAUGUUGCGGGUUCGAUCCCCGCCGUAAUAAAAUGCAAAGACUGCCUCGGUUAUCAGUGAAAAGCAUCUAAUGCUUGACACGCAAGUGAAUCAAGUCCAUUGUAGCUCGCAAGGCGAAAGUGGUUUGUGUUAGAAGUUUCGUAGUUCGCAAGACUUAAUGGCUCGCAAGGUCAACGGAGAAGAAGACACAGAGUAGCUGGUAACGACAAGCCUACUGCCUGGCUUUAAAAACGGCGAUGCUGACAACAGACAGUGAUACCGCAAGGGUCGCUGUGGAUGUCUAGAGAAGCAGUGCUCGCAAGGUGCUGUAUAAUGCUAGAGGUGUUGUUGGCUUAAGGUGUAAUCUCAACCU
rnacentral:sRNA from 1 species